rnacentral:rRNA from 1 species
GACAGAGGGUGCAAACGUUGUUCGGAAUUACUGGGCGUAAAGCGCGUGUAGGCGGCAGGGCAUGUCGGAUGUGAAAUCCCGUGGCUCAACCACGGAAGUGCACCCGAAACUGCCCAGCUUGAGUCUCGGAGAGGAAGGCGGAAUGCUUGGUGUAGAGGUGAAAUUCGUAGAUAUCAAGCGGAACACCGGUGGCGAAGGCGGCCCUCUGGACCGGUACUGACGCUGAUGCGCGAAAGCGUGGGGAGCAAACAGG